rnacentral:rRNA from 1 species
GGAGGAAAGUAGGGGAUCGCAAGACCUUGCGCUAAAGGAGCGGCCGAUGUCUGAUUAGUUAGUUGGUGGGGUAAAGGCCUACCAAGGCAACGAUCAGUAGCUGGUCUGAGAGGACGAUCAGCCACACUGAAUGAGACACGGCCCAGACUCCUACGGGAGGCAGCAGUGGGGAAUUUUGGACAAUGGGCGAAAGCCUGAUCCAGCCAUGCCGCGUGAAUGAAGAAGGCCUUCGGGUUGUAAAGUUCUUUUAGUUGGAAAGAAAAAAUUAUGAUGAAUAAUCAUAAUUCAUGACGGUACCGACAGAAAAAGCACCGGCUAACUACGUGCCAGCAGCCGCGGUAAUACGUAGGGUGCAAGCGUUAAUCGGAAUUACUGGGCGUAAAGG